rnacentral:rRNA from 1 species
GAUGAACGCUGGCGGCGUGCUUAACACAUGCAAGUCGAACGGAAAGGCCCAAGCUUGCUUGGGUACUCGAGUGGCGAACGGGUGAGUAACACGUGGGUGAUCUGCCCUGCACUUCGGGAUAAGCCUGGGAAACUGGGUCUAAUACCGGAUAGGACCACAUUUUGGAUGGUGUGGUGGAAAGUUUUUCGGUGUGGGAUGAGCUCGCGGCCUAUCAGCUUGUUGGUGGGGUAAUGGCCUACCAAGGCGUCGACGGGUAGCCGGCCUGAGAGGGUGUACGGCCACAUUGGGACUGAGAUACGGCCCAGACUCCUACGGGAGGCAGCAGUGGGGAAUAUUGCACAAUGGGCGCAAGCCUGAUGCAGCGACGCCGCGUGGGGGAUGACGGCCUUCGGGUUGUAAGCUCCUUUCGCUAGGGGCGAAGCGUUUUUGUGACGGUACCUGGAGAAGAAGCACCGGCUAACUACGUG